AUCGCUUCUCGGCCUUUUGGCUAAGAUCAAGUGUAGUAUCUGUUCUUAUCAGUUUAAAAAUUAAAGGGGUGUCCUAGCUGGCUUGGUUCAGUGGAUAGAGCAUUGGCCUGCGGACAGAAGGGUCCUGGGUUCAAUUCUGGUCAAGGGCACAUACCUGGGUUGCGGGCUCAAUCCCC
rnacentral:snRNA from 1 species